rnacentral:lncRNA from 1 species
UUAGAGUAUGCAAUGACUCAGUCAAAUAUCUGUUAAGAGAAUCAAGGGAGAAGUUGAAGAAAUCAGAUCAGGAUGACAACUGUGCAGCAAACAAAUCACCUCCAGAUUUUUCUCACUCUGUUGUGAUCAAAACAACAGAUUAAUGUUAGCUGUAAAUCCUUUAUUUGUACUCCUUGAUUUUCUAUAAUUGGUUACAUGUAAUACUCUAUAAAUACGUUGAAUAAAA